rnacentral:lncRNA from 1 species
UGCAUAGAAUACGUUCUCCCUUCAGUCAGCUUGGGUCAGCUUAGGUCAUGGGCUACCUGGGCUGAUUGCAGUUUCCGCAGAAAUGCCUCAAGAUGGAAUCUCUCAACACUCUCAAGGGGUGAUCCUCUCAUGGAAGGCCAGUGGGGAGGAGGCUGCGGGAAAGGUCAGGCACUGUGCACUUCCCUGACAGCUGCAAAUGGUUCUGUUUCCAAGCCCACGGGUCACUACAAAUGAGGGGGGUCAUCCUCCUCCAUCCAGGACCUGAGGGGUGUCCUUUUCUGUGCUUCCUUGGAUGGCAGCCUUUCCUGUGGAGUUAUUCAGAAAGUCAGGCUGACACAUGUUGUCGUCUUGAACUCUGGCAUCUCAUCUCUAUUCUAGGUGAAUCCCUUCAUGUUUAUAGUGAUUUACCAUUAAAUCACUGUGCCGUUUUUUCCUAAAAUAUAUGGGGC